rnacentral:tRNA from 1 species
GCCCAAGUGGUGGAAUUGGUAGACACAAGGGACUUAAAAUCCCUUGACCGUCUCGGUCGUGCCGGUUCAAUUCCGGCCUUGGGCA